rfam:Gossypium raimondii Chr09_contig_753, whole genome shotgun sequence.
AUUCCAUGGUAAGGGCAUUCUUUGUACCUUUCCCAUGCCUCAUACAAUGACUCAUCAUCCAUUUGUUUGAAAGUAGUGAUCUCAUUCCUCAACUU